GAUGAAGAACGUAGUGAAAUGCGAUAAGUAGUGUGAAUUGCAGAAUUCAGUGAAUCAUCGAAUCUUUGAACGCACAUUGCGCCCCUUGGUAUUCCAUGGGGCAUGCCUGUUCGAGCGUCAUUUCUACCUUCAAGCUUUGCUUGGUGUUGGGUGUUUGUCUCGCCUUUGCGUGUAGACUCGCCUUAAAAUAAUUGGCAGCCGGCGUAUUGAUUUCGGAGCGCAGUACAUCUCGCGCUUUGCACUCAUAACGACAGCGUCCAAAAGUACAUUUUACACUCUUGACCUCGGAUCAGGUAGGGAUACCCGCUGAACUUAAGCAUAUCAAUAAGCGGAGGA
rnacentral:misc_RNA from 1 species